AUCCAGCUGACCAGUCCCAAAUAAGACGAAACACACGUCCUGGAU
rnacentral:hammerhead_ribozyme from 1 species